rnacentral:rRNA from 1 species
UACGGAGGGUGCAAGCGUUAAUCGGAAUUACUGGGCGUAAAGCGCACGCAGGCGGUUGGAUAAGUUAGAUGUGAAAGCCCCGGGCUCAACCUGGGAAUUGCAUUUAAAACUGUCCAGCUAGAGUCUUGUAGAGGGGGGUAGAAUUCCAGGUGUAGCGGUGAAAUGCGUAGAGAUCUGGAGGAAUACCGGUGGCGAAGGCGGCCCCCUGGACAAAGACUGACGCUCAGGUGCGAAAGCGCGGGGAGCAAACAGG